GGGCUACACAUGCAGUCGAGCGAACCUUCGGGUUAGCGGCGGACGGGUGAGUAACGCGUGGGAACGUACCCUCUUCUGCGGGAUAGCCACUGGAAACGGUGAGUAAUACCGCAUACGCCCUUCGGGGGAAAGAUUUAUCGGAGGAGGAUCGGCCCGCGUUGGAUUAGGUAGUUGGUGGGGUAAUGGCCUACCAAGCCUACGAUCCAUAGCUGGUUUUAGAGGAUGAUCAGCCACACUGGGACUGAGACACGGCCCAGACUCCUACGGGAGGCAGCAGUGGGGAAUCUUAGACAAUGGGCGCAAGCCUGAUCUAGCCAUGCCGCGUGAGUGACGAAGGCCUUAGGGUCGUAAAGCUCUUUCGCCAGAGAUGAUAAUGACAGUAUCUGGUAAAGAAACCCCGGCUAACUCCGUGCCAGCAGCCGCGGUAAUACGGAGGGGGUUAGCGUUGUUCGGAAUUACUGGGCGUAAAGCGCACGUAGGCGGAUUGGAAAGUUGGGGGUGAAAUCCCAGGGCUCAACCCUGGAACUGCCUCCAAAACUCCCAGUCUGGAGUUCGAGAGAGGUGAGUGGAAUUCCGAGUGUAGAGGUGAAAUUCGUAGAUAUUCGGAGGAACACCAGUGGCGAAGGCGGCUCACUGGCUCGAUACUGACGCUGAGGUGCGAAAGUGUGGGGAGCAAACAGGAUUAGAUACCCUGGUAGUCCACACCGUAAACGAUGAAUGCCAGUCGUCGGCAAGCAUGCUUGUCGGUGACACACCUAAC
rnacentral:rRNA from 1 species